rnacentral:rRNA from 1 species
CCUACGGGUGACUGCAGUGAGGAAUAUUGGUCAAUGGACGCGAGUCUGAACCAGCCAAGUAGCGUGAAGGAUGACUGCCCUAUGGGUUGUAAACUUCUUUUAUAUGGGAAUAAAAUGUUCCACGUGUGGGAUUUUGUAUGUACCAUAUGAAUAAGCAUCGGCUAACUCCGUGCCAGCAGCCGCGGUAAUACGGAGGAUCCGAGCGUUAUCCGGAUUUAUUGGGUUUAAAGGGGGCGUAGGUGAGUUGUUAAGUCAGUUGUGAAAGUUUGCGGCUCAACCGUAUAAUUGAAGUUGAAACUGGCAGGCUUGAGUACAGUAGAGGUAGGCGGAAUUCGUGGGGUAGCGGUGAAAUGCUUAGAUAUCACGAAGAACUCCGAUUGCGAAGGCAGUUCACUGGACUGCAACUGACACUGAGGCUCGAAAGUGUGGGUAGCAAACAGGAUUAGAUACCCCUGUAGUC